AUCUCGGUACCACCAACAUUCCUAUCGGUGCCACCGAGAUUCAGUGACCAACUUUCUGUUGACAAGAUCUAAAGAAUCGGAAUUUCCGAGUUUAAAAUCAGCCUCACCGAGAAUUGGAAACUGGUCUAGGUCAUCGUAUCGAUACCACAAAGAUUCCUAAAUCGGUCUCACCCAGAAUUCAAAAGUUGCUACAUUUAGCGCAACUCGAUACCACCGAGAUUCAUUUCGGUGUCACCGAGUUGGGCAAUAAUGUUGUAACGGUUGGAUUUUGGGGGAUGCCUAUAUAUACCCCUCCACCAACCUCUCAUUCGUAGAGUAAGCAC
rnacentral:lncRNA from 1 species